CUCGUAGGCGGUUCGGUAAGUCGGGUGUGAAAACUCUGGGCUCAACCCAGAGAGGCCACCCGAUACUGCUGUGACUAGAGUGCGGUAGGGGAGCGGGGAAUUCCUGGUGUAGCGGUGAAAUGCGCAGAUAUCAGGAGGAACACCAGCGGCGAAGGCGCCGCUCUGGGCCGUAACUGACGCUGAGGAGCGAAAGCAUGGGUAGCAAACA
rnacentral:rRNA from 1 species